GUUGAGCCUGAUCCAAGCCACACACUGGAGGAACGGGUGGUUCAUUGGUACUUUGCCCAGCUGGAUAAUAAUGGCAGUCACGAUAUCAAUAAGAAGGAGAUGAAGCCCUUCAAGCGCUAUGUAAAGAAGAAAACCAAACCCAAACGAUGUGCCCGCAAGUUCACCGACUACUGCGACCUUAACAAGGACAAGACCAUCUCCCUUCAAGAACUCAAAGGAUGCCUAGGAGUCAAUAAAGAGGGUAGCACUACAAGCAGCAGUCAGGGGACAAGGCAAGGGACAAAUUUGUUCAUAGGUCGUCUGGUCUGAAGACGGAAAGUUCCAGAAGAUGAGGCAGUAGCACAAAGCACAGUGGGAAGGCAUCUGUUCACUGCUGGAAGAGUACAACGAAGGAUUCUGAGAAAUUAUUAAGAGGUUCCUUAAGAAAAAAAAAAGAUGAAAAUGAUAUCAUGGAGCCAAAAUAUUUGCACUUUCUCCUCCCAUUUUUAGACAUUUUAUUAUGUCCUUUGUUUGUGUUGUAAACGUCUUAUUAAUAUGACUAUACUAUGUCCUAUAAUAUGAGAACACAGACUGUAAGUGUGAAUGAUUACUUGCUUCCUUCCACAUUUUUAGCACAUCCACGCUCAAUCCAGACAGUAUUAUAGUUGUGUUUGAAUGAGACAUUUUUGAAUGUCAUUUAAAAAAAAAAACAAGCAUUCUGUUUUGAAAUUAGCUUGUCUUUAAAUGCCUCUUCUUCGGUUUGCUUUUGUUUUUGAUAAUGUCCACUCAACCAGUAUGUUUGCUCCUUUGUUCACCUUGGCAACGGAACUAAUGGAGCAUUGAUAGUGAAAAAGAAAUGGAGCGAAAUCGUUUCUGUCAACAAACAUUAGCUACGGUCUCUCAGACCUGCACCUAAGGACACUAGUAAUGCACACAUAACCAUCGCCUGAGAAUUAGCAGUAAGUUCCACAUGGUUUGUUCAGAAGUCAGAGGUCAAAAACACUAUCACGCAAAAUUAGUAUGGUAAAUGUCACGAAACACUUAGCUUUACUAUCUUCAAAUGGAUUAUUCAGUAAGUACAUGGUGUGUCUCACAUAGUGUUCUGUUGUUGUUGUUGCUGUUGUUUUUUCGUAAUGCCUUUAUCAAAUCUUGAACCUUCAAAUGACAAAUAGUACAGUAAAAAUGGGUGUUGUAAGUGCUGUAGACUGAUGUGUGCAUAGAACUAAUCUAAUUUAGAAGUGCUUUUCAUAAGAAAUACUUCUUUCCAUACAUCAAUUCUUCCCGAGCUGGGUAUUUGCAUACACUUUUUGGACAUGUACUAUGGUAUUCUUUGAGGUACCUGGGAGUGACAUGUAAAUAGCAUGGUAAUCAUUCAGUGCCACUGUAUUUUACCAUGGUAUUACCACAAUGAUGUUGUUGUUGUUGUUUUUUUGUAGGAUUCAGUUUUCUUCUCUGGGUAGAAAAGGAUUGUAUAAAUCAGAAGGUUUGUGUAGGUCUUACAAUAAUUCAGUGUAAAAAAAA